UUUCAGACACAGCCAACCCAGGAGCUUAGACCAGAGGCAGCUGCUGCAGGCAUGGGCCUGGCAGCAGGAAGGCCAGUGGGCGGGCAGACAGGCAGCAAGAGAACACUCGAGAAUUAACCUGCGCAGGGCCGGGUCUCCUCAGAGGAUCACGGACAUCCCUACUCCCGCCUUUUGACGACAGAGACAUGGCUCGGGAGCCCAAGCCUGGUCCUGCCCGGCCGGGCCAGAAGAGGCCCUGGGGCACGGCCAUCUCCUGCUACUACGAUCUGGAUUACGAGCUGUACAGGGAAGAAUUCCCCUACAGGGUGUGUGACUACCAAAGGAUCCCUCCACUAAUCAACCGUGCACCUACCAAGAUCCGGGGGACCCACGUGGGCCCGGGGGUCAAGCACAGCUUUAGUCCCCACAAGGCUCCCAGGACUAGUCAACUGCCUGCAGGGCAGAUAAAGCUCCAGACUGAGGAGCUGCACUCCAUCAGAGGAGAGCUGAGCCAGAUCAAAGCCCAGGUGGAUCACCUGCUGGAGACUGUGGACCGCAUGGACCAGCAGAUGGACCAGCUUCCAGGGACGGAGGACUGCGAACAGAACCGGAGCUCCAGGAGUAAGGGUCCCUCAUACAGAACCGUAGAACCUCAUCAGGAGCCUACAGGCCAGAGGACCCAUCCAGAGGCAGACAGCUCCCCGAUCACAGACCCAGAAGACCCCAAGGAGGCAGUAAAGAAUCACGCAUCAGACCAGGAGGGCAGCCAGUAGAAGGCUGGAACUCCCCCAGUCUCAUCAGCUCCAGGCACUUUCUUCGGCGGUUCCUAUCCCCUGCCUUGAGUAGCACCCACGCUGGAGCAAGCGCAAAGAAGUGGAGGCAUGGCUCAGCCAGUCCAGCUGGGAAGCCUCCCCCCAGUGCUGACUUUAGCUUGAGGAUCAUGUUUCCAGAUGACCAUCUGGGGGCUAGCGGGGAAGGAAGGAGCCCUCCAAGUGCCCAGCACCAGCUCACCAUUCUCAUAAAGUUGAGGCCACUCCUGUUAAGAGGCAGCUGGAAAGGGCCCCCCUGGGAGCACCACCAGCCCUCUGACUACAGGUACCUCCCUAGCUGCUUCUCCCCGCCCCUCGCCAAAGCCUUACCUGUCCUCUCUGGGUCUCAGCAGGAGUAUCACUUUUAUGUUGUUUCUACCUUGUCUCUUGCUGGUGUGAUCUUACAUAUUUCAGAUCUGCUUUGGAAAAAUAUGUCACUGAGGAGAAAUAAAAUUUUCUUUUCCCUGG
rnacentral:lncRNA from 1 species